UCUUGUGUCUUUAUUUCUUUUGCAUAUAUCUUUAAUCUAGAAUAAUCUAUUACCUUUCGGAUGAGCUGUGAUCUACAAAUACAGUUCAUACUCUUGGGAUAGAUUAUCUUUAGGUAAAGAUCUCUCUUUUGUAUCUAGAUAAUUUAAACUAGCCUAUAAUUUUAAGGGACGGAUCAUGAUCCAAUGGAUACAGGCCGUACUCUCUA
rnacentral:lncRNA from 1 species